UGCGUAACGGGGUGAGCUAACACGAUGGGCAAUCUGCCCUUCACUCUGGGACAAGCCCUGGAAACGGGGUCUAAUACCGGAUGACACUCUGUCCCGCAUGGGACGGGGUUGAAAGCUCCGGCGGUGAAGGAUGAGCCCGCGGCCUAUCAGCUUGUUGGUGGGGUGAUGGCCUACCAAGGCGACGACGGGUAGCCGGCCUGAGAGGGCGACCGGCCACACUGGGACUGAGACACGGCCCAGACUCCUACGGGAGGCAGCAGUGGGGAAUAUUGCACAAUGGGCGAAAGCCUGAUGCAGCGACGCCGCGUGAGGGAUGACGGCCUUCGGGUUGUAAACCUCUUUCAGCAGGGAAGAAGCGAAAGUGACGGUACCUGCAGAAGAAGCGCCGGCUAACUACGUGCCAGCAGCCGCGGUAAUACGUAGGGCGCAAGCGUUGUCCGGAAUUAUUGGGCGUAAAGAGCUC
rnacentral:rRNA from 1 species